rnacentral:rRNA from 1 species
AAUAGAUACCCAGGUAGUCCACGCCGUAAACGAUGUCGACUUGGAGGUUGUUCCCUUGAGGAGUGGCUUCCGGAGCUAACGCGUUAAGUCGACCGCCUGGGGAGUACGGCCGCAAGGUUAAAACUCAAAUGAAUUGACGGGGGCCCGCACAAGCGGUGGAGCAUGUGGUUUAAUUCGAUGCGACGCGAAGAACCUUACCUACUCUUGACAUCCACGGAACUUUUCAGAGAUGAAUUGGUGCCUUCGGGAACCGUGAGACAGGUGCUGCAUGGCUGUCGUCAGCUCGUGUUGUGAAAUGUUGGGUUAAGUCCCGCAACGAGCGCAACCCUUAUCCUUUGUUGCCAGCGGUUAGGCCGGGAACUCAAAGGAGACUGCCAGUGAUAAACUGGAGGAAGGUGGGGAUGACGUCAAGUCAUCAUGGCCCUUACGAGUAGGGCUACACACGUGCUACAAUGGCGCAUACAAAGAGAAGCGACCUCGCGAGAGCAAGCGGACCUCAUAAAGUGCGUCGUAGUCCGGAUUGGAGU